GACGAACGCUGGCGGCGUGCUUAACACAUGCAAGUCGAACGGAAAGGCCCUGCUUUUGUGGGGUGCUCGAGUGGCGAACGGGUGAGUAACACGUGAGUAACCUGCCCUUGACUUUGGGAUAACUUCAGGAAACUGGGGCUAAUACCGGAUAGGAGCUCCUGCUGCAUGGUGGGGGUUGGAAAGUUUCGGCGGUUGGGGAUGGACUCGCGGCUUAUCAGCUUGUUGGUGGGGUAGUGGCUUACCAAGGCUUUGACGGGUAGCCGGCCUGAGAGGGUGACCGGCCACAUGGGGACUGAGAGACGGCCCAGACUCCUACGGGAGGCAGCAGUGGGGAAUAUUGCACAAUGGGCGGUAGCCUGAUGCAGCAACGCCGCGUGCGGGAUGACGGCCUUCGGGUUGUAAACCGCUUUCGCCUGUGACGAAGCGUGAGUGACGGUAAUGGGUAAAGAAGCACCGGCUAACUACGUG
rnacentral:rRNA from 1 species